AUUGAAUCAUGACAACCGUCAGAGGUGAAUGGUAGCAUCCCGUUUUGCAGAUGAAGAUACAGGGCCCAAAAGUAUGUGGCCUGCCCGAGGUCACACAGCUUCUGAGAAAUGGAGCUUCACUUCAAAACUGUGCCACCAUGCUUGCUCUCUGAAAACAAAAUAAAACCACUUUUCUGAUUCUAAAGAGAAUAAUCCAGGUUACCGUAGAAAUUGUUGAAAAUAUAUCACGCAGAAAAUAAAAAUCAUGGGUAAUUCCUACACCCAUAGAUAGCUGACAUUAACAGUAUCUGCAUAUUCUUACAAUUUGCAUGUUUUUACAGAAAUUUGAAUUGAGGCUGGGAUUACAGGCAUGACCUACCGUGCCCGGCUUGAAGGAGAUGAUUUGUGCCCAAGUGCUGACCACAGGGAUGAGCACUCCGGCUGUUUUCUCUUCUUUCCCAUCCCCACCACCGCUGCUGCCCCUCCCCUGGGGGUUUGGAUCCGCAGAUCUUAAGUGCUCUCGCCACAAAAAAGAAGCGUGGGCGUGGUGAUUCACGCCUGUAAUCCCAACACUUUGGGAGGCCAAGGUGGGAGGAUUGCUGGAGCCCAGGAUUUUGAGACCAGGCUGAGCAACACAGGGAGACCCCAUCAAGAAAGAGAGAGAGAGAGAGAGAAAGUGAGGAAGGGAGGGAGGGAGGGAGGAAGGAAGGAGAAAAUGGCAACUAUGUGAGGUGAUAGAUAUAUCAACUCAAUUGUGGUGAGUGCUUCACAAUGUAUACCUAUAUCAAAACAAGUUGUACACCUAAAAUAUAUACAAUUUUUCUUGUGAAGUAUACCUCAGUAAAGCUCAGGGGCAAAAAAAAGAGAUGAGUCGAUGUUAACCCAAACUGUUAAAAACAGAUGUCACCUAGUUGAAGCUGCUUCCCUAUGUCAUCAAAAGGAUUAAAAGAGAAUUGAAGAAAAAGAGCACUUCAGGAAGAACAAAUGAUAGGCUGGAAACAAAUACACAGGGG
rnacentral:lncRNA from 1 species